GUUGUGGGUUGGGGUCGAAGGCGGUCGUUUGGGGGUCAAAGGUCCCAUGUUUGGGGUCAAAGGUCAUCGUUGGGGUCAAAGGUCGUGGGUUGGGGGGUCAAAGGUCGUGAUUUUGGGGUCAGAGGUCUUGUGUUUGGGGUCAAUGGUCCCAUAUUUGGGGUCAAAGGUCAUCAUUUUGGGGUUCAAAGGUCAUCAUUGUAGGACACCAAGGUCAACGUUGAGGGUCAGAGGUCAACACUGGGGGUCAAAGGUCACAAUUUUCGGGACAAAGGUCGUGGGUUGGGGGUCAAAGGUCAACACUGGGGGUCAAAGGUCGACGUUUUGGAGUCCAAGGUCCCAUAUCCGAGGUCAAAGGUCACAGAU
rnacentral:lncRNA from 1 species